UGGGAGCCUGUGCUCUCCUAGCAGCCCUGCCAGCAUCUCGGCACUGCCCAGGCUGCAGCAGGACCCCAGGCUGGAGCUGCUCUGAUCCUGGCAGGGAACACAGGGGUGGGGAGGCUGCUGGGGCUCCUGUGUUCUCCUAGGAGCUGGGACGGGUGGGAGGUGUCCCAGCGUUCCACAGCCCGCAGGGUUGGCCUGGGGGAACCAGCUGGCAGCACCCAGGAGACUUUCAGCUUGUGCUAGCUUACCAGACAGGAGCCCCCGGGCAGGUCCAGCCUCCCCGCAACAUAAGAAUGGCCACACUGGGUCAGACCAAUAGCCCAGUGUUCUGUCUUCUAACAGUGACCGGUGCCAGAUGUAUCAGAGGGAAUGAACAGAAAAGGGCAAUUUAUCAAGUGCUCCAUCCCCUGGCAUCCAGUCCCAGUUUCCAGCAGUCAGAUUUAGGGGCAGCUGGCGCAUGGGUUGUGUCCCUGCCCAGCUUGGCUAAUAGCCAUUGAUGGACCAUCCUCCAUGAAUCUCCAUUGCAAGACCCCUGGUUUGUGUGUUAUGGAAGGGAUAAAUAACACUUCCUGAUUCACUUUCUGCACACGAGCCAUGAUUUUUAGACCUCUAUCGUAUCCGCCCAUCGCCAUCUCUUCUCCAAGGUGAACAGUCCCAGUCUUCGCACGAAAGCUCAUGCUCAAAUAAAUUGUGAUUCCCAACACGCUGUUCGCUUGGACGGCCGCUGCACAUUGAGGGAUGUUUUCAGAGAACUCUCCACAAUGACUCCAAGAUCUUUCUUGAGUGGUAACAGCUCAUUUAGACCCCAUCAUUUUCUAUGUAUAGUUGGGAUUGUGCUUUG